rnacentral:rRNA from 1 species
CACAUCUAAGGAAGGCAGCAGGCGCGCAAAUUACCCAAUCCUAAUACAGGGAGGUAGUGACAAGAAAUAACAAUACAGGACUUUUUGGUUUUGUAAUUGGAAUGAGUUAAGUAUAAACCCCUUUACAAGUAUCAAUUGGAGGGCAAGUCUGGUGCCAGCAGCCGCGGUAAUUCCAGCUCCAAUAGCGUAUAUUAAAGUUGUUGCAGUUAAAAAGCUCGUAGUUGGAUUUCUGUUAAUAAUUUAUAUAAAAUAUUUUGAUGAAUAUUUAUAUAAUAUUAACAUAAUUCAUAUUACUAUAAUAUAUUUUAGUAUAUGAAAUUUUACUUUGAGAAAAUUAGAGUGCUUAAAGCAGGCAUAUGCCUUGAAUACUCCAGCAUGGAAUAAUAUUAAAGAUUUUUAUCUUUCUUAUUGGUUCUAAGAUAAGAAUAAUGAUUAAUAGGGACAGUUGGGGGCAUUUGUAUUUAACAGUCAGAGGUGAAAUUC